rnacentral:tRNA from 1 species
GCCUGGGUGGCUCAGUCGGUUGAGCGUCUAACUUCAGCUUGGGUCAUGAUCUCACGGUCUGUGGGUUCAAGCCCCACGUCGGGCU